rfam:Myotis davidii contig200623, whole genome shotgun sequence.
UCACCUAAGGAAAUCCCCCUGAAUUGUAUGGAGUGAGCCAGUAACGCAUCUGUCCCCUCCGGACAGGGCUCUAUCGGAGACAGACCCCCCUUUCCCUGGCUUCCAGUGCCCAGGGGUCUCUCCCCCUUGGCAGGAGUCAUUGUCUCCUUUUGGC